rnacentral:lncRNA from 1 species
AUAAGUUAAGUAUAUUUAAUUUAAUCUAUGGUGAUAGAAUAAAUUAAAUAGCUUAAUAUUUAUUAUUUAAUAUUUUAGAAAUAUUAAAUAUAAAUUAAUAAGAGGAGUCUUAUUAAUAUUAUUACAAUUAUUAAUAUUUUAAUUUCUAAAAGAGUUUAGGAAUUAAUUUAAUAUAAGUACUCUCAUUAAUUCCUAAUAGGAUUAGGAGGGAAAAUUAGUUAAAGGAGUUUAAUUAAUUGUCCCUAAUAAGAUUAGGGAGCCCAUUUAAUUAAAAGAGUUUAAUUAAAUAAAUAAUACCUUAUUUUAACAGGGUUACCUGAUUGUGAGUCUUAUAUCAGAUAUCUACAUACGUGAUUCUAAUAGUUGGAGAGUACGCUCCUUUUCUAUGGGAGAUAGAAAACUAGGGUUUAGCCAACCACCCUUCUUCUUGAAUAUUUCUUCUUCCUUGGUGGAUCACCUCUAGAGGCCAAACACUUGGGUGGCUAACGUUAAUCAAAGGAAGGAACCAAACCCGAUGGAUUCAAGUUGAACGCGAAAGGAUUUGGAGGUGAACUUGUACCUGAGGAAGCUCGAAUAUUCAAGGGUAUGAUUUUAUUCGUUGUCUUUUCGUUUAAUUAUUAAUUAUGCAUAAAGGAUGAUCCGAGUAUAUGGUUUGUAAAAUUUUAAAACUCUGAUUUUUACACGUUUUCGCUUAUUUUGUGCAAUUUGAUUGCGUGUAUGAAUAUUACAAACCUAACAGUUGCCACCAAUAGACAUCAGGUGUUUUUGAGGAGUAAUAAUGUAGAUCCCUUGGAUUAUACAUUGUUCUGACAUAUGCCCAGUCAGCCUACUAAGUGCGCCCAACACCCCAUGCUGUCGCCUUCUGUCGUACGAUGCUGCACAUUGUCGCCCAAGAUAAAUGUCAUGGCCUAACCUUGGCAUGUUGUUUGGCCAAAGCCCAAAUCUAUCGCUUGUUGCGCCAAGCUACUGCACAAUUUGAGUGUCAACCCAUCUUUUCCUACACUGACUAAGUGUUAAGGCCCUUGGCCUGUUGUUUAUCCAUCCCACAUGUCAAAAUUCGUGUCAAGCCAACAAGGGUCUAACAGUAGCUUUGAAAGUCGCAGGGACUCGUCCGCCUGUUUACACCCAAAUUCUAAAAUUUUAGUUUUGGAUUAAGUGAUUUUCGACUAAUUACUUCAAUCAAUUAAUUAGACACGACAAGAGGAUCUCAGCUAACUAAUGGAGUUCUAAUACAAUUCUGAUCAGGCUUGCAUCAAGCGUUAUCGAAUAAAUUCAAGUUUCAGGAAUUCAUCAAAUGAUUUUAAGUAAUUGGGCUAAAAGUUAUUCAAGAACAUUCAAUAAAAGAGUUGUGCCUCAAUUAAUGAGUUUGACCCAAUAUAAUUUCCAAACGCGACAAGGAUUACGGAGUAUAAUUACCCAACAAUUGUGAUAUUUUUUGAUUCUAGAAACUUAGUUUUUACAAUUCUAUUGUAAUUAGGAUUUAUUAUUAGCUAAGGUUUACUUUCUAAAUAUGUUUCUCUAGCUUUAUAGAAUUAGGGAUUUCUAUUCCAAAUUAGUUUAUAAUUUCUAUUAUGGUUAGAAUUAUUUGUUACUAUUGUUAUUAUGAUUAGGAUUACUUUGAGUAGUAUAAAUAGAGAUCCAAAUUGAUGUAAUUGAAACACAUUAUUCAUUAUUCAAUAUACUUGUGAAGUUAUUCUUUUAUUUUGUUCUUUGAAUAAUUCUUGAGUUAAUUAUUAGUUUUGUUUAAGAUUCAACUUUGAUUUAUCAUACAACAACUCAUAGUUGUGUGUGGCAUCUUCUAGCGCAUUAAUCGUCGAUUGUACUAAGAUUACUGCUUACAUAUAAGCGAGGGGUCAAUGUAUCAUUGGUGUCCAUUCAAUGCAGAUUUUCUAGCGUGAACAAUUGUGCCAAGAUUACCGCUUACAUAUAAGCGAGGGGUUGAGGUGUUGUGAGCGAUUCACCUUCAUAGCUUGCUAGAAACGAUCGGGGUGACGAUUACCUCGUGCAAACGUGUCGUGGAGUCUAGCAUUUGGUAUCAAAGCUAAGUUUUUCUAGCGAGUUACUUAUCUUUAAUUUUCUGUUGAAUAUAUAUUAAAAAAAUCGUGAGUAUAAAAAAAAGUAAAGGAAAAAUUUCCAGUUUGUUCGAUUAUUUGCUAACGAAUUUCGCAGUGAUAACUUGAGCACAGAUUAUCAAUUCCGAAAAAGCGACACAACAAAUUUUUGGGAAAGCCUACAUGAAAAUUUAAAAGGGCGUACAAGAGGAGUACAAGAUGAUCCAUAUAUAAUAUUGUGGUAUUUUGAAAUUUACACCAUCUAUAUUUUGUUUUUGAUAAAUUAUUUUUGAAAUUGAAUAGUAAAACAAUGAUAUUGUUGUAAGGUUUGUAAUAUCCAUGAACAUAUAAUCAAAUUGCAUAUAAACAACAGAAGCAUGGUAAAAUAGAAUUUAAAAUGUUUACAAACUAUAAUUAGGAAAAACUUUAUGAGUAAUUAUCAAUUAAUAAAGAAGAUGCAUGGAGAUAUAGAAUUAUACCUUCAUAGAUCAAAGCUUUCUCAUGUACAAGUUCACCUCCAAUUCGUUUGUGUUCUCCUUGAAUUCACCGUUUAGAUUCCUUUAUUUGAUCAACGUUAGUCACCCAAGUGUUUGGCCUCUAGAGAUGAUCUACUAAGGAAUAAUAUGUAUCCAAGAAGAUGAGUGUUGGCAAAACCCUAUUUUCUAUCUCUAUAGAAAUUGCAAGUUCUCUCCCAACUAUUGAAAAUGCGUGUAUUUCCCCCCCCCCCAUAAUAAGACUCCUUUUAUUUAAAGAUGUAGGCAACCCUCCUAAACUAUUUAGGAAUAAGGUUUUAUUUUAAUUAAUUAAACUCUUUUAAUUAAUUAGAUUCACUUAUGAGAUUACUUUUAUUAAUUAAUUCCCAAACAUUUUUAGGAAUAAAAUAAUAAUAAUAAUAAGACUCCUCUUAUUAAUUUAUAUAUAUUUAAUAUUUCUAAAAUAUUAAAUAAUAAAUAUUAAGCUAUUUAAUUUAUUUUAUCACCAUAGAUUAAAUUAAAUAUAAUUAACUUAUUAUUACGAUUAUGCCAUUUACUUCUUAAAUAAAUAUUUUUCUUUUACGGCGUGACCCUUUAAGUUCUCCAUAUUAAAUUGAUUGUGAAUAAAUCAAUUAGAACAAUUUUAAUCUUAUUUAAAUAAAUAAAUUAAACUAUUUAAUUUAUUUAAAUAAAUAAUAUUUAUUCUACAAUAAGGGUAAGUCCCCUUAACAAUCAACGACUUUCUAGAUAAUAUAGAUGUCAACAUUAAUCAUAAAAGAAUUUUUCAGUGAGUAGUUAUCGUACAAUUCAAUCAUUCUACCAUAUAAUAUCUCAAUUAAAUAUAAGACAUGGAACUAAUGUCAAGUCUUAUUUUAUUUAAUUAUAUGUAUUUCAAUUCUCUCAAAUGCACAACUCUAAAUAAUACAAAUUAAAAACUACUCCCUCCAUCCCAAAUUAAUUGCUCAGUUUUGACUUUUUAAAGUCAAAUUGACCAUUUUUAAAACUAAUCUUUUUAUUAUUUUUGCUAAAAUAUAGGUGAAGAGAUUAUAACCAAAAGAAAGUAUAUACAAUUUAUUACUAAUCCUAAUUUUUAUAAUUUUAGAAAUAUAUUUAUAUAUGCUUAAUUAUUAAUUCUAAAAAUAGUCAAUUUGACUUAAAAAAGUCAAAACUGAGCAGUUAAUUUGGGACGGAGGGAGUACUUUUUAAUUUUAUUCUGUCUUGGUCAAGGACUAUUGAGUUGUUAUUUAUCGAAUCGCAUAGGACAUUCUCUGUUUUAACUAGAAGUAGUAGAUUCUUUGUUGAGCAUUCAUUAUCUCCAUGUACUGUGACACCCCCAAAUCCGGGUACUUCAAUUUUCACGGGAUUUAGUGUUCACUGUCCAAACAUCAUGUAUCUAUCUACCCAUAAUAAAUGAAAAACCAUAAAUAAAUAGAAACGAGAUCUUGUAGCACUUACCAAUGAGGCCCUAUCGAUUAGUAUUACACAGAAGAAAUACUCUCCUUAUGGAGUUACAACAUCUGAAUGUAAAUACAUCAAUCCCAGAUUAUAUUAACCUUAAAUCUCAAAUGCGGAAACAUAAACAAAUAAUAAGUCUUACACAACUUUAACAUAAGUCUAAAAUAUAAAUACAUCAAAUAAAUAACAAGUCUUCAUCACUUGUUAACUUUGCCCUAGCCUUUGCUAGUAGAAGGCUCGUCGGACCUUUCGUUUUUAACUGCAAUGUUAUUAUUAUGUAAGAGUGAGCACGAUUGCCCACAAGUAUAAUAAUAUAACAAUAAAAUAAUAACAUACGAAUGAAUCAAAGACUUCUGAAAUAAGAAAACUUGGCUUUUGAAUCAAGAAUGAAUAACAAGAAUCAAAAGAACUUCUGAGGGUCAUAAGACCUUGAACUACGUCCUAGGUUGUCAAGUGUUUAUACUUGAAACCUUUAACAGUCAUAAGACUAUGUACUCUUCUUUUCGUACUUAGGGGAAUCAACCCUUAGUACCAUACUGUGCACAAUAUCUUAACGCUAAAGCAUAAUUAAUCCCCUAUAACAGGAUUGUUCAUCUCAGUUUGACAUUAGAGUCCGCACCAAAGGAAGUUUGGUUUGGAUAAUCUCAACAAUGGUUCUAAAAUUUAAACGUUCAUCAACUAUGGACUAGUCGAAUCAAUAAUGGUUCGCUAGUCUUACAAGGUUCAACAAUAAUUGAUAUUCAAUUUGAAUAAUAAAAAUUCAAGAUGUAUACAAUCGAAUAUGUAUUGUAUAACAUGAAUCAUACUUUUAAAGAAUGAUAACAUCUAAUAUGAAAUCUUGACUUGAACAAUAAUAAACAAGAUAGAAUAAGGAACUUGCUUUAUGUAAAGAAAUAAGGUUUAGGAACUUUCUCAGAUAAAGUUAGAGUUAGACAAUUUACCUCGUGUGUAGGCUAAACGAUUACUACUCUCGUUCACCACAAGUCCUACACACAUACCAUAUGUAUUCACGACAUUCAUUAGUUACAUUAAUACUAACCUUAUAGGUUUAGUUCCCUCUUUUAAUACAACUUGUUAAAUUGGUUUAAAUUCUGCUCAUUACCAUCAUUCACAUAUACAGGACUGAAAUCUCAAAUCUUAAGUUUAAACAACAUCAUAUCAUCUCAUGGACAUCAUCAUUUUUUUAAUGUAGUUUAACCAGUUACAAAAUUACAAAACAUAGCAGUUAUAAGGUGUGAUAUUAUAGAGAGAGAAAACUUCUGAUUCUGGUGUGAUUUUUAAUUCUAACUAAUCACCCUAUUUAUAGAAAAAUGAUAGAACGCCAAAGUAGCCUAACCUGCUACCUGAUGGCUUUACAUGCUACUAUUCACGCACACCACUUUUGAAAUAAAAUUUUAGCACAUUUCUCACCAACCAAAAGUGGGGCCCACCCAUUCUAGAAAAUUUCCAAAAUAUUUUAAAUUUAAACAAUAAUCAGCAACUUCAAUAAUUCAUAAUAAAUAGCCCUUUUAUCAAAUAAAUUCAAAUCUCAUGUCUAUUCCAUAGGAAAUUUAAUUCUCUACAAUUUUGUAGAAGAAAGUUUUUCCAAAUUCCAAACAGAAAAUGCCUGAAAUUCACAUACGGACGAUUUUUAAUACCUCAAUUUCGAUAAAAUACUGAUAAAACACCUCAGCAUUAAUUCUUUCAUUUAUAUCCACAUAAAAAUAAAUAUUUUCUUAUCAUAUAAAUCAAUAAUUAAUUAUUCACAAAUAAUAUUAUAGAAUCACAAUUAUGACAAACAGGUCGUUCCCAGGAAAGAGGGGGCUUUUCGAUAAGGAUUUCUCAUUACUGGCGCGCAAUUAGAUGACCAAACGCCUUUUCUAGAAAGAACUUCCUUAGACAUUACCAAUAAUGCUAUCUAAUAAUAUUAUUCAAAUAAUAUGAAUUAUUGAUCUGAUAAUGGGAAAUACUGUGCAGUGACAAUUAUUAAAACAACAAUAAUAUAAAAUAUCAACGUAGCAAUUAUUGAAUCAAUAAAAUAAAAUAUUGAACAAUAAUUACUGUAACAAUUAUUGAGUAGUGCAUUCUUACGUAAGAAUCAAUAAUUCAAAAAUACUGUGCAAUACCGUUGUGCUACUGUACAACCACGCGUAUUACGGUUUUUUUUAUCAUCGGGUAUUCCAAUAGUGUUAAUGGUAACAACUAUGCCAUUAUUUGUAAAAACUCAAACUUGUCGUUUUCUUCAUCCGACCAUUUUCUGUUAUGGGGCCCACAAAUGGCUACGCCAUCGGACGAAUAUUCCCCGACAGCAAGAAUAUUCCACGACCAAACGAAUAUUCCCCGACAACAAUGACUAUUUUAUAACCACUUUCUUAUUUUGUAAAAUUUGCACAUUUCAUCCAUAACCAAAGUAUUAUAUCAAAUUAACACCUUAUUAAUCAAAAUAAUAAUUAGAGGAAAUUCGAUUUUAUUUAUAAAAAGUUGGGGUCUUACAGAGUGUGUGAGGAAAAGUUUUAUCUGCUAACCUUUGUUUUGCAGCAAACAUUUAUGAAUACAAUUAUAUGGGUUCUUAUGGAAAUGGAAGGAGUUCUUUUCAAGGCAGAGUUGACCCUGAUACUUAUCUGAGAUGGGAGAAAAAGAUGAAGCGAGAGUUUGACUAUCAUGAUUAUUUUGAGCGGAGGAAGGUCAAACUUAAGAUUCAAAAGUUUUUGAAUUAUGCAGCUACAUAGUGAGAUCAACUUGUGAUUAGGCAGAUGAGUUAUGGAGAGCGUCCGAUCGAGAUAUGGGAAAAGUUGAAAGCCGUGAUGAGGAAGUGGUUUGUUCUAAAACAGUUGAAUCAGCUGAUGGAGUAUGCUUUUCCAAGACUUACAGAACCAUCUCCAAGGCGUGUAGAGCAAAUUCCAUUGCGAUCAACAGUAUAUGAUGAUAAUAAGAUUCAUAGGCGUGAAGAUUCGCAUUGGAUACAGCCACAAAACAUUCCUAAAGCGUUUAAAGAGUAAGUAUUUUUUAAGAGCAUAAAAGAAAACAUCAUAGUGGUGUUUUGUAAGGGGUUGGAGGAUUGUUGGUUGCAGUAACAAAACACCCAUAAGGCGCAUAAGAAUCAAGUUCAGCCAAGGGAGGAAGAAGAUGAAAAAAAAUAUGCAGUCCAAGGAGAAUUAUUAAAUUCCAUUGUAUGUGAUGAAGUACAUUGUAGACACUCGAAAUUUUGCAUUCCUAUUACUAACCCUGCAGGAGGGCAGAAUCUUCUUCCAGAGAUAACCCUGGAAGUUAAAUCAGUUUCAACCCCGGAGAUAACCCCGGGAGAUCCAGUUUUCAAUCUCGAAGAUAACCUCGAGAGACUCAGUUUCAAUCCCGGAGAUAACCCUGGGAGAUCAAGUUCCAACCUCGGAGAUAACCCCGAGGGAUCCAGUCCAAGUUAAGGAGAUAACCCCACAAAAGUCAAUUUCAACCCCAGAGAUAACCCCGGGAUACUCAGUUCAACCUUAGAGACAACCUCGGGAUACUCAGUUCAACCCUGGAGAUAACCCUGGGAGGUCAAGCCAACCUCAGAGAUAACCCUGAGGACAUUCAGCAUCCACAACAGCCCAAUCUCAGAGAUAACAUUGAGAAAUGACUGUUACAUCUGCGCAAAAGCCGAAGAAAACCCCGGUGGGGGGGGGGGGCAAAAUCAUCAUUUUGACACCUCAACAUCACAUUCACGUCAUAUCAACACAAUCAAUCCACACUGCAUAUUACGCCCCCAGAAUAGGUCUAUAUAACUCAUUCUGAGUUGCCAAAUACAUGGUACAUAAUUUAAAUACAAACUUUAUUUAUACAACUGUCGUGCAAAAUACGACAACACAAUAAUUGAGUUUCAAAAUAGAUAUUGUCUCGUAGACAAUAUCCAAACUCAAAUAUAGUCCUCAUUACAAUUAUUGUUACACUAUUUUACAAAAUAGGGAGGAAUGCUAUAAAAACAUCUUGAACCAUUACUCCACUCCCCGACUAGUCCCAGCUAUAUUCUCGCCUCCUGAGAAAAAUAAUGGAAUCAAAAGGAAAACGGUGAGCACAACUAGCCCAGUAAAGAAUAUUAUGACUAAGAUAAUGUAGAACAAAUUAUCAUUAUUCCUCAACAGGGAAAAAUCUGAUAGAAUACAAUAGACAACAAGUUUUAGAUCAACAACUGCAGCGAAAAUAAUAAUCCUUUAGAAGAGUCAAGUAAAACAUGAUUUCUACUAUCUUCUAUGAUUUAAAAGUCCAUCAUUAAUAUUUUAUCCCUGUAACACCAAUCAAUAAAUAUUUCACAUCAACGAAUUAUCCAUGCAGUACGGGCCAAGUGGUCAUGCUCAUGCUAAAUAACUGUCCAUCUAUGCACUACGGGCUAAAAAGAACUUUCACCAUAUCAUUUGUCUGUAUUAUUACAGGUCAUGAUUAUACCAAUAUACAAUUCCUGGUCAUAAUCAUACCAAUAAAAAGUUCAUCUAUACACUACGGGCCAAAGAUGACUUUUACCACAAUAUAAGCAUGAGGAUGAUGACAAUGAUAUAAUAAAUUAAUCAAGUGAGAUCAAUGAUAAAUAUUAGAGAUUUAUAAUUCAAUUUAUCCAGAGUUCAAGAAUGUCUAAAUUGUCAACAUGAUAAUUAAUUAUGGAGUAAAAUUAAAGAAUGAUAUUCAUGUAUCAAAAAUAAUUUAGACAAAAAGAAAUCACGUUUGUUGUGAAUAGUACCCCGUGAAUAGUACCCGAAUAAAUAGUACCCCGUCAUGCAAAGUACCCCGAAUAAAUAGUUCCCCGAGUGAAUAGUACCUCGUGAAUAGUACCCCAAAUGAAAAUAUUAAAAUUUAAUAAGAAAGUUCAGACAAAUAUUCCAAUGAAACGAUACCAGAUGAAGCGCAAAACUCAAAGAUAUUCUACUAAUUUCAGGGAUUAUAGAAGCAAUACUUACCAUAGUAAGUUUAGAUUUAAGAAUAUGAAAAGAAAUAAUAUACGAAACUGCAAAUAGAUUUUCACCCUCAUGCGGUAAUCUGCGUAGACAGAUCUUUUCCACAAAUAAAGAUUGAGUACAAAGGGUUAUUCACCAUGCAUGCGAUAAUUUGCGUAGACAGAUUAUUCCCACAGAUUAAAGGAUGAAUACAGAAAAUAAUAUCCCUUAUGAAUACGAAAGAAAUAAUACCCCUUACCUUAGUAGAAGUUUGGAUACUGCAAUAGUGAAGUAGCAGAAUACUCUUCUUCUUUCUCUCUAUAGUUUUUCUCUAUGUAGUUUCUCUUGUGAGUCUUAGUGAAUUGGUAAGAAUGAAAGAAGAAAUAAGCUUCUAUUUAUAGAAGAAUGGACUAAAUAGUAACUGAUUCAUGGAUUGAUUUACUAUUAAAAUGGAUGGUCCAUAUUGAUUUACUAUUAAAACCACUACCGACGGUCCAUAUUGAUUUACUAUUAAAAGCACAACCGACAGUCCAGAUUGAUUUACUAUUAAAACCACAACUGACAAUCCAUAUUUAUUUACUAUUAAAACCACAACCGACAGUCCAAAUUGAUUUACUAAUCAAUCCACAACCGACGAUCCAUAAAUUAGUACAUCUAUGACGCCCCCAAAACAGGAAUAAAUAACCCAUUCUAAGUCGCCAAAUACAUGGUACAUAACUUAAAUACAAACUUAAUUUAUACAACUGUCGUGCAAAAUACGACAAUACAAUAACUAAGUUUCAAUACGAAUAUUAUCUCGUAGAUAAUAUCCAAACUUAAAUAAAGUCCUCAUUACAAUUAUUAUCACACUAUUUCAUAGAAUAGUGAGGACUACUAUGGCAACCAUCUCGGACUGUCACUCCAUUCCCCGACUAGUCCCAACUAUAUUCUUAUUUCUUGAAGAGAACAAUGAAAGAAAAGGGUGAGCUCAACUAGCCCUGUAAGAAAUAUUAUGACUAAGAUAAUGCAGAAUAAAUUAUCGUUAGCCUUCAACAGUGUUAAACUGAUAAAAUAUAAUAAACAUCAAGUUUAACUGCAGCGGAACAACCAAUCUAUUAGAAGAGUCAAAUAGAGCAUGAUAUCUACUAUCUUUUAUGAUUUAAAAGUUUAUCAUCAAUUUUAUCGUUGAGACUCAUCUUAAUAAAUAAUGCACAUCAUUGAAUUAUCCAUGCACUACGGGCCAAGGAUAUUCAUUAGUAUCUCAUCCACGAAUUAUCCAUGUACUACGGGCCAAGGAUAUUCGUAUUAUCACUAAUGGUCAUGAUCAUGCCAAACAACAAUUCAUCUUUGUACCCUUGGCCAAAGAGAACGCAUGGUCAUUAUCAUACCAACAUCUGUCCAUCAAUGCACUACGGGCCAAUAAUGACUUUUACCACAUCAUUUGUAACAUUACAGGUCAUGAUUAUACCGAAUAAUCCAUGGUCAUAGUCAUACCAAUCAACAGUCCAUCUAUGCACUACGGGCUAAAGAUAACUUUUAUCACAAUAUAAACAUGAGGAUGAUGACAAUGAUAUAAGCAUUAAUCAAACGAAAUCAAGGAUAAAUAUUAAAGACUUUAAAAUUUAUCCAGAGUUUAAAAAUGUCCAAAUUGUCAACAUGAUAACUGCUUUGUGGAGUAAAAUUCAAGAAUAAUAUUGUAUUAAAAAUGUUUGGAGAGAAAGAAAUUUAUUUUUGUCAUGAAUAGUACCCCGGGUGAAUAGUACCCAAGUGAAUAGUACCUCAUGAAUAGUACUUCAUGAAUAAUACCUAAGUGAAUAGUACCCCGUGAAUAGUACCCCGUGAAUAGUACUUCGUGAGUAGUACCCGUACGUAUGAAUAGUGUCGUACGUAUGAAUAGUGUCGUACAUAUGAAUAGUGCCGUAUAAAUGAAUAGUACCCAUGAAUAGUACUCUGGCAUGAAAAGUUUAAAAAAUUAACAAGAAUGUUCAGAAAAAUAUUCUUGUGAAAUGAUAAUAGAUGAAACGCAAAUUUUAAUGAUAUUCUACUAAUUUAAGGAGUAUAGAAGCAAUACUUAACAAAAUGAGUGUAGAAUUCAAAAUCUGAAACGAAAUAAUAUUACUUACAUACUACAUAGUAUGGGAGAAAAUAUUAUUUCUUACGAAUAUUGAACAAAAAUAACAUCCCUUACAACUGUUGAACAAAUAUAAUAUUCCUUACGAAUAUUAAACGAAGAUAAUAUUUCUUGCGAAUAUUGAACGAAAUAAAAUUUCUUACAAAUACGAAAAAUAAUAUCGUAAGCGAAUAUAAAAUAAAUAAUACCACUUACCUCAAGAGAAGAGUAUUUCUGACUGGUAUAGCGGAUAUAUUAUUGAAUAAAACUUUCACUAUUUUCUACACUCAAAGCUUCCUUAAACUCAAAAGAAAUACGCUCAAUAUUAUAGAUCUAAGUGUAAUACCCGGGAAAAAAAAAUAUUAAAUAAUAAAAAUUAUUAUGUUUUUAAAACGUAUUAAUUGGACCUUGUCAUUUAAUUGGGGCAAAUUGUAUUUAAUUAUUGUGGACCAUAAUAAGUAAGUGAUAACAUUAAUUUGGGCCUUUAUUUUAAUUGGGUUUAAUUUAUAUUUGUGGGUAAUAAUAAAUCCUAUUUAAAUUAGGAGAGUUAAUAUUGAAAUAAAUAAAUAACUAAAACCUAGUCUUUCUCAUAUGUCUUUGUUGCGAACUGAGCGAAGGGAGGCGACAGAUACAAAUUGUGUGGUUCCUUCUUAGGAGAAUAAAAGAGGGUUGGAAAAUCAAGAUACCUUUAAUAAGGUAUGUAUCUUUUUAAGAUUUAUCAAUAUGUUGUUAAAGAUUGAUGCAUUCAUCCUUCGGAGGAGUAGCAGUAAGAUUUGUGGUAAUUAAUUGACAUGACAACAUAUAUAUAUAUAUAUAUAUAUAUAUAUAUAUAUANNNNNNNNNNNNNNNNNNNNNNNNNNNNNNNNNNNNNNNNNNNNNNNNNNNNNNNNNNNNNNNNNNNNNNNNNNNNNNNNNNNNNNNNNNNNNNNNNNNNNNNNNNNNNNNNNNNNNNNNNNNNNNNNNNNNNNNNNNNNNNNNNNNNNNNNNNNNNNNNNNNNNNNNNNNNNNNNNNNNNNNNNNNNNNNNNNNNNNNNNNNNNNNNNNNNNNNNNNNNNNNNNNNNNNNNNNNNNNNNNNNNNNNNNNNNNNNNNNNNNNNNNNNNNNNNNNNNNNNNNNNNNNNNNNNNNNNNNNNNNNNNNNNNNNNNNNNNNNNNNNNNNNNNNNNNNNNNNNNNNNNNNNNNNNNNNNNNNNNNNNNNNNNNNNNNNNNNNNNNNNNNNNNNNNNNNNNNNNNNNNNNNNNNNNNNNNNNNNNNNNNNNNNNNNNNNNNNNNNNNNNNNNNNNNNNNNNNNNNNNNNNNNNNNNNNNNNNNNNNNNNNNNNNNNNNNNNNNNNNNNNNNNNNNNNNNNNNNNNNNNNNNNNNNNNNNNNNNNNNNNNNNNNNNNNNNNNNNNNNNNNNNNNNNNNNNNNNNNNNNNNNNNNNNNNNNNNNNNNNNNNNNNNNNNNNNNNNNNNNNNNNNNNNNNNNNNNNNNNNNNNNNNNNNNNNNNNNNNNNNNNNNNNNNNNNNNNNNNNNNNNNNNNNNNNNNNNNNNNNNNNNNNNNNNNNNNNNNNNNNNNNNNNNNNNNNNNNNNNNNNNNNNNNNNNNNNNNNNNNNNNNNNNNNNNNNNNNNNNNNNNNNNNNNNNNNNNNNNNNNNNNNNNNNNNNNNNNNNNNNNNNNNNNNNNNNNNNNNNNNNNNNNNNNNNNNNNNNNNNNNNNNNNNNNNNNNNNNNNNNNNNNNNNNNNNNNNNNNNNNNNNNNNNNNNNNNNNNNNNNNNNNNNNNNNNNNNNNNNNNNNNNNNNNNNNNNNNNNNNNNNNNNNNNNNNNNNNNNNNNNNNNNNNNNNNNNNNNNNNNNNNNNNNNNNNNNNNNNNNNNNNNNNNNNNNNNNNNNNNNNNNNNNNNNNNNNNNNNNNNNNNNNNNNNNNNNNNNNNNNNNNNNNNNNNNNNNNNNNNNNNNNNNNNNNNNNNNNNNNNNNNNNNNNNNACCAUUUAGGUUGAUUCGAAUUUUAAGUUUUGAUUAUUUUGACUCAGUUUGGAGAAUUGUACUUAUUACUUUAUUAAUGAAUCACCACUAUUAAUAUUUUGAGGUUGUUAGUGCUCUGUUUAUUUAUUUUGAGGUUUGUUGUGCUUUGCACGUGACCUCCCUUUCCUUUUCGGGAAGGGGGUAUUACACUAAGACUCCAACUUUUAUGAAUAAAGAUUAAUUUUUCUCGAAAUAUAUUUUUGAAUAAUAUGGUUUGGAUUUGAUAUAAUAAUAAAGUUGUGGAUAUUAUUUACAAAUUUUGCAAAGUAAGUAAGUGGUUAUAUAAUAUUCGAUUAGUCGGGGAAUAUUCGUACGACGGCACAAUCUUUGGUGGACCCCACAAUGGAAGUAUUAUCGUAGUUAGAAAACGACAGAAUUAUCUUUUUAUAAAAAUAACGGCAAAAGUUUUAUCGUUAAACUGUUGAACUACCCGGUGGUAAAAGUAUAGUAAUACGCGUGGUUGCAUAGUAGCACACAGUUCUCAAUUGAAGUAAUGAGCCCCCCAAUAUUGGGGGGCUCAUUACUUCAACUAGUCCCCAUGUUCCUCGAAUGGAUCUCUUAGUUGUUGAGAAGGUUGCCCAAAAGCGGUAUAUAAGGCGUACCCGGUAAAACUUACAAGUAAACCAGAUAUAAAGAUGGCGACUAGGGUUGCUGUUUCCAUUAUUAUAUAAUUUCAAGACCACAACGGAUCUAUGAUAAGAUCGUUUAUUUACAACGGAAUGGUAUACAAAGUCAACAGAUCUCAAUGAAUACAAUAGGAUUUAUGGCUACACAAACUGUUGAGAACGGUUCUAGAUCUCGUCCAAAACCAACUACUGUAGGGAAUUUAUUGAAACCAUUGAAUUCGGAAUACGUGAGAAGUCACUCAGUUAUACUCAAUUAUUGCUAUAAUAAUUGCUGCAUAAUAUCUCUCAUAUUAUUAAUUUAAUUAUUGUCAUAGUAUCAUCUGCAUAAUAUUUUAUAUUAUUAAAUCAAUAUAUGAGACGACAAAGUUAUUCAUAUUAUUAUUUGCAAUAUUGACAAUGUCUAGAAAGUUCUGUCAAGGAGAGGUUUGGUCACCUAAUUGCGUGCCAAUAUGGAGAAAUUCUUAUCGGAAAGCCCCCUCUUUCCUGGGAAUGAUCUGGUUGUUAAAUAUUGUGAGUUAUAAUAUUAAUAAUGAAUAAGUUCGUGUUGAUUAAAGAUGAAAUUGAUAUGUCCAUUAUGUUGGGAUUAUUAGUGUUAGUGGAAAUCGACAUUAAUUUCGAUAAUAAUGGAUGUCUGCAGGUUAUAUUGACCAAUCGGGUAAUUAAUCGGAUAAAUGAGUAAUUAAUUGCUAUUAAUUCACAUGCUUAUAACUAUUUAUUCACAUGUGUGUACUAUUGAUUCACAUGCAUGUACUAUUAGGGGAGGUGGUGCAAGAUUAAUAAUACUUGCAUGACUAAAUUAAAAAUGGAGGUAUAGAUGAAGAUACUAUACUGUAAUUAUUUUUUUCACAUGAUUGUACUAUUGAUUCACAAGAUGUACUAUUAGGGGAGGUGGUGCGAGUUUGAUAAUACUUGCAGGACUAAAUUAAAAAUAAAGGAAAAGAUGAAGGUAUUAUACUGUAAUAUUUUGAGCCCCAAAACGUGCAAUUAUCGAAACUAUAUUUUCCUAUAAAUAGAAGCUCAUUCUUCUUUAAUUCUCACCAAUUCACUAAGAAUCACAAGAGCAUUUAUAGAGAGAGAAGCUAUAGAGAGAAAGAAGAAGAGAAGUCUACUAUUUCACUAUUCCAGUAUCCAGUCUUCUUCUGAGGUAAGUGAUAUUAUUUUUUUCAGUAUUCAUAAGGAAUAACAUUUUCUUCCAUACUUUGUAGUAUGUAAGGAAUAUUAUUUCUUCUCGUAUUCCUGAUUAUACCCUCAUUUUGUUAAAUUAUUGUUUCUAUACUCCGUAAAAUUAGUAGAAUAUCCUUGAAAUUUGCGCUUCAUCUAGUAUCGUUUCCAAGGAUGUUUUCUACACUUUCUUGUUAAAUUUGAAGUUUUUCAUGCCGGAUUUGUAAGACCCCAACUAUUAUAAAUAAAGAUAAUUUUCUAUAAAUAUCAUUUUUGAAUAUUAUGGAGUAAAUUUGAUAUAAUGUUAUAGUUGUGAGUAAUAUUUAUAAAUUUUGCAAAGUAUGCAAGUUGUUAUAUAAUAUUCGAUUGGUCGGGGAAUAUUCAUUUUAACAGAGAAUAUUCGUACAACGGCACAAUCAUUGGUGGACCCCACAACGGAAUUAUUGUCGGAUUGAGAAAAUGAAAAAAAAACUUUAUGAAAAUAACGGUGGAAGUUUUACCGUUAACUGUUGAAACACCCGGUGUUAAAAGUACAGUAAUACGCGUGGUUGCAUAGUAGCACACGGUAUUGAUUAUUGAUACUUACGUGAGAAGUCACUCAGUUUUGUUCAAUUAUUGCUACAGUAAUUACUGCAUAGUAUCUCACGUUAUUUGAUUAAAUUAUUGUCAAUAUUUUAUAUAUUAUUAAAUCAAUAAUUGAGACAACAAGGUUAUUAAUAUUAUUAUUUGCAAUAUUAACGAUGUCUAGAAGUUCUGUCAAUGAAAGUUUUGGUCACCUAAUUGCGCGCCAAUAAGGAGAAAUUCUUAUUGGAAAGUUCCCUCUUUCUUGGAAACGACCUGGUCGACUAAUAUUGUGAAUUAUAAUAAUCAUGAUAAGUGUUGUUAAAAAUAUUGAGGAGAUUUUUAUGAUGUAUUUAUGGGAAAAUUUUGCUUAUUAUUUGGACCCCCCCACUUAUUUUUAAAAGAAAUCAGAAAGUUAUAAUGUAUACAUGCGUAUUAUAUAUAUAUAUAUAUGUAUAUAUAUAUUUAACAUGUGUAUGUGUGUGUUUAUGUGUGUGUAGGACUUUGUGUAUGGUAGUGGGUUUUGGUGGGGGUUGGGAGAAUAUGGUAUUCAGUGGGAGUAUUAUUAUUACAUAUAUAUAUAUAUAUAUAUAUGGAGUUUGAAAAGUGGACAGAGGGAGUAAGAUGAUCAAUUCACGGGGUUUCCACCCGUGAAUUUUUUUUCUCUGUACAUGUUUUAUAUAUAUAAUAUAUAUAUAAUAUUAUAUUUUAUUUUAAAGUUUUGUUUUAUUAGAAUAUUUUAUGGACCGUUCGAUUAAAAGUAAAUCAAUCUGGACCGUUCAUAGAUUAGUUACUAUUCAGUCCAUUCUUCUAUAAAUAAAAGCUCAUUCCUUCAUUAUUUCUUACGAAUUCACUGAAACUCUAGAGAGAGAAAUUAUAGUAUCUAGGGAAUAGUCGCUUCAACCAAAGUGAAUUCUCCCAGAUACAUCUAUUCAAUUUAAUUCGGGAAUCUAUCCCGAUUCUAAAUAUCUGGAUUGUGCUAAAGAUUCAAAACCUAUUUUUAGCUUUUUUGGUAAAUCAAUUGCGAAAUGCUUUUCUAGAAUGCCCAAUAUCGCUUUUACAUCUUCUAUUCGAAAAUGUUCAAUUUUUAUAAGGUCUUCAUGACUGUUAUUUAAAAGGUUUAAUAAUGUAUAUAAAUUGGACCUUAUAAGGCAAUUAUAGAUCCUGGGAGGCAGUUCUGAUUGGUCAAUAAAAAUAGAUUUCAAUGCUAUUUUUUUUUUAUUUUUUCUUAGUUUAGUCAAUUUCUCAUGAAAGGUAAAAGGGGGUAAAGGAACCGUGUGUUGAUUGUCCGCUAAAUGUAAGUUUUCUUCUUCUGUAUGUAAAAAGGGAAUAAAUAAAUCAAUCAAAUUCCGGGAGGCUUGAUGAAGUGCUUCUUUAGGAGUUAAACUUCCAUUUGUCCAUAUUUCAAGAAAAAGUAUCUCUUAUUUCUCAUUCCCAUUCCCAUAAGAAUGAAUACUAUGAUUCGUGUUUCGAACAGGCAUGAAUACAACAUCUAUAGGAUAACUUCCAUCUUGAAAGUUGUUAUUUGGCAUUUUUAUAAGAUAUCCACAAUUCCUCUUUAUUUGUAAUCCAAUACACAAAUAAAUUGGUUCCGCCAAGCUAGCUAUAUGCUGUGUAUUGUCAACGAUUUCUACAUAAGGUGGUGAGAUGAUAUCUUGAGCAGUUACAUAUCCAGGACCCCUAAUACAAAUAGACGCAUCGCAAGUUCCAUAUAGAUUACUUUUCAAUAUAAUUUCUUUCAAAUUCAUUAAAAUUUCAUGUACUGAUUCUUGAAUACCCACUAGGGUAGAAUAUUCGUGUGGUAUUUUCUCAGAUUUUGCACGUGUGAUACAUGUUCCUUCUAUUUCUCCAAGCAAAGCUCUUCGCAUCGCAAUGCCUAUUGUAUCAGCUUAACCUUUCAUAAGUGGAGACAGAAUAAAGUGUACAUAAUAAAGACGCUUACUGUCCGCUCUUGCUUCAACACACUUCCACUGUAGUGUUCGAGUAGAUACUCUUACUUUCUCUUGAACCAUAGUAAUAUUAUUUAAUCAGAUCAUUGAAUCAUUUAUUUCUCUUGUUUCUCUUGAAACUUCUUCAAUUUUUAUUUCUACACACAUCGUUUUUUCGGAGGUCUACAGCCAUUAUGUGGCAUGGGGGUUACAUCCCGUAGGAAAGUUAAUAGUAUACCACUUCUGCGAAUAGCUCAUAAUGCUGCGUCUCUUCCGAGACCAGGUCCUUUUAUCAUGACUUCUGCUCGUUGCAUACCUUGAUCCACUAUUGUACGAAUAGCGUUUCCUGCUACGGUUUGAGCAGCAAAUGGCGUCCCCCUUCUUGUACCCUUGAAUCCACAAGUACUGGCAGAGGACCAAGAGACCACCCGACCCCGUACAUCUGUAACAGUCACAAUAGUAUUAUUGAAACUUGCUUGAACAUGAAUAACCCCCUUUGGUAUUCUACGUGUACUCUUACGUGAACCAAUAUGCCUACUCCUACGUGAACCACUUCUCGGUAUAGCUUUUGCCAUAUUUUUUCAUCUCAUAAAUAUGAGUUAGAGAUAUAUGGAAAUAUCCACUUCGUGUCAAAAAAGAUCCCCCACUUUUUUUUUUUACUUUUACAUCGGGUGUUUAAACGGGUCUAAUUACCCCUGUCUUUGUUUAUGUCUUGGGUUGGAACAAAUUACUAUAAUUAGUCCCCGCCUACGAAUUAGUCGACAUUUUUCACAAAUUUUAUGAACAGAAGCUCUUAUUUUCAUAUUUGGCAUUCCUUACCUUAAUUCUUAAUCCAAUUUUUGGAAGAGUAAGUUUCUUAAAAUUUUUCAUCUCUAAUCCUAUUCCCACGAAAAGAAUGUUGAAGUUGAAAAAACACCUAAUCUUUCGAAUUCUUAUUGCGAAGUCGAUAAAUUAUACGUCCUCUGGUUGAAUCAUAACGACUUACUUCAAUUUUUACUCUAUCGCCUGGCAGUAUCCGUAUAAAACCACGUCAGAUCUUUCCUGAAACAUAACCUAGAAUCAUAUCUUCAUUAUCUAAGCGAAUUCAGAACAUGCCAUUGGGAAGAGAUUCAGUAAUUAAACCUUCAUGAAUCCAUUUUUGUUCUUUCAUUCAAGGUAAAGCCUCCUUGAGGUAUCAACUGAUGGAGGAGGAAUGAUAUUAGAUAACUCGCCCCUUUUCUUUUCUUUUUUUCACAAAUAGGAAGUUUCGAAUCCAAUUCGGAUAUUAGAAGGAUUACCAUAUAUAACACAAAAUUUAUCCGCCAAUUCUUUCUAGUCGAGACACUCGGUCUGUCAUUAUACCUCGAGAAGUAGAAAGAAUUACAAUUCUGAUCCCGCCUAAAAUUCUAGGAAUUCGUUGAUAGUUAGAUUAGAUUCGUAGACCAGGCCGACUGAUCCGUUUUAAAUUUAAAAUAUUUUUAUAAGGCCUUUUCUUAUUCCUUCUAUGUCGUAGGGUUAAAACCAAAAAAUCCUUUUUGUUUUCUUGAUGUUUUCUCACGUUUUCGAUAAAACCUUCUCGUAAAAGUAUUUUAACAACAUUUUCAGUGAUAUUAGUAGAUGCUAUUCGAACCACUCUUUUUUUAUCCAUAUCAGCAUUUCGUAUAGAGGUUAUUAUGUCAGCAAUAGUAUCCCUACCCAUGAUGAAUUAAAAUUCUUGGUGCUCCCAAAUUUUGAUAUAAUCAACAUGCUUUUCUUGUUUUUUUACUUAUUUGUUUAUGAAUAUGAAUUCUUAAAGGCAUAUGCAUGAGACAUAAUCUAUUAAUUAAUCUGAAUCCAUUUCUUAAUCUCUUUCUUUGAAAUACUUUAUUCUAACCAUAUCAUGAUCUCGUUUUAUAAUACCUCCGGAGCUAAUGAAACUAUUUUAGUAAAAUUUAACUGUCUCAAUUCCCGGGCAAUUGCACCAAAAACCCGAGUUCCCUUUGGGUUUCCUUCUUGAUCGAUGACAACCGCAGCAUUGUCAUCAUAUCGUAUUAUCAUACCGUUAUCACGUUUGAGUUCUUUACAAGUACGUACAAUUACAGCUCUGACCACUUCUGAUCUUGCUAGGGGCAUGUUUGGCACUGCUUCUUUGAUUACAGCAACAAUAACGUCACCGAUAUGAGCAUAUCGACGAUUGCUAGCUCCUAUGAUUCGAUUACACAUCAAUUCUCGAGCCUCACUGUUAUCUGUUACAUUCAAAGGGUCUAAGGUUGAAUCAUAUCAAUUUUUAUUUUUUUAAUCUAUUCUUUCAAUGCAAAGGGCGAAUAAAAAAGAAAUAUUGUUUGUCCAAAAAAAUAAAUCAGCACCUGUGAUUGUUUUUUAAUUCUCAAGACCUAUUUCCUUUGAUUCUCCAAUUUUAUGUUGAAAUAAUGAAUUGAGUUCGUAUAGGCAUUUUAAACGAUGCUAUUGAAAUAGCCUUUCUGGCUAUACUUUCUGUUACUCCACCCAUUUAAUAAAGGAUUCGACCUGGUUUAACAACAGCUACCCAAUAUUCAGGGGAUCCUUUCCCCGAACCCAUACGUAUUUCUGCGGGUCUUACUGUAACCAGUUUGUCUGGAAAUAUACGUACCCAUAUUUUUCCACCACGUCGUGCAUUUCGUGUCAUUGCUCGUUGACCUGCUUCUAUUUGUCUAGAUGUGAUCCAGGCGGGUUCAAGUGCCUGAAGAGCAUAUUUACCGAAAGAAAUAUGAUUACCUCGAUAAGAUAUUCCCUUCAUUCUUCCUCUAUGUUGUUUACGGAAUCUGGUUCUUUUGGGGUUGUAGUUGAUGGUUGGUUCUGAAUUCCAUCUCUACUACAGAACUGGACGUGAGAGUUUCUUCUCAUCCAGCUCCUCGCGAAUAAGAAAAUCUUCAACUUCUCUAUUAUUCGUUUGUAUAUCUUAUUUUUUUAGAUAACUAAACAUAUUAAUAUUUCUAUUUUAAAUAUUGUAUGACUUUUUAUAAUGUUAUAACAAAUCUUUAUUUUGUUUUGUCUUUUAUUUCCUUCGAUUGACCCAAAUUUAGAAAUCCAAUAAAAUAAAGGUUUCGCAGGCGAAUAUUUACUCUUUUCAUCGCUAUUUCAGUUGUAAGGUUAGAUCUUGAUUUUUCUUUUCCCAAUAAAUGAAUAUGAAUGAAUUAGUCUUUGGUUUGUUCCGCCAUCCCGAUCAAUGAAUCCUUUUUCAAUAGAUUUGGAUUCAUAGGUUCCAUCGUUCUCAUCGCUUCUUAUUUAAUGGUUAGGUCGGAUUUCUACAAUGGAGCUCAUAAUGAAAUUUUUUCUUGAGUCAAUCUUCUUAGUCUUUAUUGGCUCGAAGCUCUUAUUUUUUUAUUUUAUGAACAGAUUCAUUUAAUUUUGUACGAAUCAGCAUUGAUGCUUUAUUACACUGCCUUUUUUAUGAGAUGACUUAUAGACCUUAUAUAUUGGAUGGAAUUCUAGAUCAUUGGUAUUUUUCUCUCUUUCUUUCACCCUUCCAUUUAUCCAUAUAUUUGUUCUCUAUUUCUCUUUAUAACUUAGAUUUAGAUUGAUUUUUCUUUUGUUUAUGAAAAGAAUAUUUCAGUUGCUACAACGAUAUGACCGAUAUAUCAUAUCUUAACUGGUUCUUUGGAUCCAGAUAAUGUGAAGUGAUGAGUUGGUUAGUAUUCCUAUAGUUAUUAGUUUAUAGUAAGAGGCUAGUCUUUUUUUUAAUUGAAUCCUAACCCUAAAAAAACCAACGAGUCACACACUAAGCAUAGCAAUUAUAUCAAAUGGCUAAUCGAAUUUUUAUUCAACCAUAUAGAAUUAAGAAUUAGAGUUCUUCAUUUUAGUUUUUAUUGAAGAGAAAAAAGGAACGAAUUUCUCUUUUUUGUUCCAUCACUAGAUCGAAGGGAAAGACAAAUAAAGGUUUAUUCUUCCCCGUCUAUAAAUAUCCAAAUUUUGAUGCCUAAUACUCCAUAAAUAGUUCGAUUGGUUUGCAGGGGAACCCUACAUUCUCUGAUCCAUUCCACACGCGCAAUUUCUUUUCUGUCAAUACGCCCUGCAAUUUAUACUUGAAUUUCUUUUGUAUCUACUUGUUCAGUUAAUUCAAUAGCCUUUUUCAUUGCUUUUCGAAAUGAAACUCUAUUCUUUAAUUGGCCGGCUAUAAAUUCCGCAAGAAUAUUAGGGCUUCCGUAAGGUUUUGCAAUUCUUGUAAUAGCAAUGUUAAGUUUUUGGUUCACAUACUUACAUUCUUUUUGUAGAUUCAUCUGCAAUUCUACGAUUCCUCGCGGUCGACUUUCUAUUAUUAACUUUGGGAAUCCCAUAUAGAUUAUGACCUGGAUCAGAUCGAUUCAUUUUUGAAUCUUUAUAUGUGCAAUUCCCUCAAUGCUAGAGGAAAUUUUCAUAUUUUUUUGUACAUAAUUCUUGAUAAAAUCUCUUAUUUUUUUGAUCUUCUUGUAAACCUUCAGAAUAAUUUUUUUGGUUGUGCAAACCAAAAGGAAUGAUGACCUUGGGUUGUACCAAGUCUAAAACCGAGUGGAUUUAUUUUUUGUCCCAUACUCCCCCAUUACUAUACAUAUUAUGAUACGCCAUAGCCGUAUACUUUUUUUUUAUUUUAGUUUUUUUGACCAUCUGAGAGGGUCUAGAAAGUCUACUUCUAUAUAUUCAUCUAAGGAUAUAUCUUUCACUACAAUACUUAUAUGGCAGAUAGGUCUUUUUAUCGAAAAACUACGUCCUCGAGCUCGAGGUUUUAAUUUCUUCACGAUAGUACCCUCGCUGACUUCAGCUUUACUAAUAACUAAAUUUGAUUCGUUGGAAUCCAUAUUGUAACUAGCAUUUGCUGCUGCAGAAUAAACCAAUUUAAAAAUGGGAUAACAUGCUCGAUAAGGCAUGAGUUCUAGAAUCAUAAGUGUUUCUUCAUAAGAACGUCCACGAAUUUGAUCUAUUACUUUUUGCGCUUUAUGAGCAGACACAGAUAAAUAUUGACCUAAAACAUAUACUAUUUUUUUUCUCUUCUUUAACAUAAAUAUAAAGUUUGCCUCCUAUUAAUGAAUGAUAAGCAUUUAUAUAUAUAUAUAUUUAUUAAACUUUCUUUUCUUAACGACGAGAUCUAUUAUCGCUUUUCGCAUGUCCUCGGAAAUUUAAAGUAGGUGCAAAUUCUCCCAAUUUGUGGCCUACCAUACGAUCGUUUAUAUAAAUAGGCAAAUGCUCCUUUCCAUUAUGGAUAGCAAUAGUAUGGCCUAUCAUUGUGGGUAUAAUGGUAGAUGCCCGGGACCAAGUUAUUAUUAUUUCUUUUUCUGCUUUUGUGUUAAGCUUAUCAAUUUUUCUUAAUAAACGAUUUGCUACAAAAGGAUUUUUUUUUAGUGAACGUGUCACAGCUUACUCCUAUUUUUUUUGUAAAGACGAAGAAAUAAAUCCUAUUUUCUCUCCUAUUUACUACGGCGACGAAGAAUCAAAUUAUCACUAUAUUUAUUCCUUUUUCUACUUCUUCUCCCAAGUGCAGGAUAACCCCAAGGGGUUGUGGGUUUUUUUCUCCCAAUUGGGGCCCUCCCUUCACCACCCCCAUGGGGAUGGUCUACAGGGUUCAUAACUACUCCUCUUACUACAGGACGCUUACCUAGCCAACGCUUAGAUCCGGCUCUACCCAAACUUUUCUGGUUCACCCCAACAUUCCCCACUUGUCCGACCGUUGCUGAGCAGUUUUUGGAUAUCAAACGGACCUCCCCAGAAGGUAAUUUUAAUGUGGCCGAUUUCCCCUCUUUUGCAAUCAGUUUCGCUACAGCACCCGCUGCUCUAGCUAAUUGUCCACCCUUUCCACGUGUGAUUUCUAUGUUAUGUAUGGCCGUGCCUAAGGGCAUAUCGGUUGAAGUAGAUUCUUCUUUUUGAUCAAUCAAAACCCCUUCCCAAACUGUACAAGCUUCUUCCAAAGCAUACGGCUUUCUGGAUGUAGAUGAUAUCUAUACAGAUGGAUCUUAUAUAUCCUACAAUGAAGUACCACAUGAGUGGAUAUAUAGGAAUCCAAAUAUGCCGAAUCACUCAUGUUAUGAUCUUCUACGUCCUAGGUCUUCCCAUUCCGUCAUCAGACUUAUGUUCUUCAUGUAGCAUUCAGACCGAAUGACUCUAUGAAAUUACGUCGAUACUUCCACAUAUUAUGGGUAACGUAGGAGACAUCUCUAUUUUUCCCCCGGGGAAUCUUUAGAAUUACCACUGCUUAGCUUUCAAUUCGCCUCUGACCAUCAAAUGAAAUGUGAAUAACCCGUCCUCUUCUCUUUGAAAGAAGGGGCGCUUCCGGUUCUGUCGGUGCUUGAAACAAUUUUGUCUUCUCUAUAUUACUAUAUCUCUAGAGUCAAUAAUUUUAUAUGAGGAACUACUGAACUCAAUCACUUGCUGCCGUUACUCUUCAGUUUUCUAUCGAGGUCUAUCCUGUAGAGGUACUCAAAUUGGAUCAGUGAUCGAUUUCUAGGUUUCGUCAUAAACCUAAUUGGUUACUUCCAAUUACGUAAAUCAAUAGUUCAAACCGCACUCAAAGGUAGGGCAUUUCCCAUUUUUAUAGGAACUUCUGUACCAGAAACAAUGGUAUCUCCAAUUAUAGCCCCUCUGGGAUGUAAAAUAUAUCUCUUCUCACCAUCCCCAUAGUGUAUGAGACAAAUGUAUGCAUUUCGAUUAGGGUCGUAUUCUAUGUUUACGAUUCUACUAUAUAUGUCUUUUUCAUUCCGUCGAAAAUCGAUUUUACGGUAUAGACGCUUAUGACCUUCCCCUCUAUGCCCAUGCGGUAAUGAUUCCUCAGAUAUUACGACCUUUACCACAAUGAUGUUGUCCAUAGAUCAAAUUAUAUCAUGGAUUGGAUUUCACUUGACUGUCUACGGCUCGAUUACGUGUGCUCGGGGUAGAAGUUUUGUAUAAAUGUAUCGCAAUGCUAUUAAGUAUUUUGAUUUAAGUUCUUUUCUUUCUAAGAGGUGGAAUAGAAUAACCUGGUUGAAGCGUAAUGAUCAUAUGUCUGUAAUGCAUUGUCUGUCCCAUAAUAAGUCCUAUUCUUCUACCCCUUCCCGGAAGUCGAUGACUAUUCAAAGCUAUUACCUUGACACCAAAGAAGAGUUCGACCCAAUGCUUUAUUUUUGUCCUAGUUGAUCCUGAUUCGACAUUAGAAGUAUAUUAAUAUUUCCCCAAUAACUGAAUACUUUUGUCUAUAAAUACUGCAUAUUUGAUUCCAUCCAUAAAUCGAUUUUCUUCCCUAUGAGUUCUAGUCUCAAUAAGAAUGCUAGUUCUUACUGUUCAUAUAUUAUGUUAUGAUAUGAAUAUACCACACCAAUUCGUUUUGUAUGGAUGAUGAGAUUCAAUUGAUACAGAGCCAAUUCCAAUAGACUUAUUAAAGGGUCCCAUUGGCGUGCAUCCAGUAGGAAUUGAACCUACGAAUUUGCCACUUAUGAGUUGGGCGCUUUAACCAUACAGCCAUGGAUGCUUAGCGGGGAUCCUCGUACAUGGUGAAUAACCAAAUUCCAAUUGAAACGAAAUCUUUAGAAUAAAUCAAUGCAAUUUAAGAGGAAUCAAUGAAAGGACAUCAAUUCAAAUCCUGAAUUUUUGAAUUGAGAGAGAUCAAGAAUUCUCACUAUUUCUUAGAUUCACGGACCCAAUUCAAUUCAGUGGGAUCUUUCAGUCACAUUUUUUUCCACCAAGAACGUUUUAUAAAAUUUUUUGACCCUCAAAUUUGGAGUAUCCCACUUUCACGCAAUUCACAGGGUUCAACAAGCAAUCGAUAUUUUACGAUCAAGGGUGUGGGUGUAAUACUCUUUGUAGUAGCGGUCCUUAUAUAUCGUAUAACAGUCGAAAUA